rnacentral:rRNA from 1 species
AGGGUAAUGGCCUACCAAGGCGAAGACGGGUAGCUGGUCUGAGAGGAUGAUCAGCCACACUGGAACUGAGACACGGUCCAGACUCCUACGGGAGGCAGCAGUGGGGAAUCUUGCGCAAUGGGCGAAAGCCUGACGCAGCGACGCCGCGUGAGUGAUGAAGGCCUCGGUGUAAGCUCUGUGGAGGGGGACGGAAUAAAGGGCGUGGCUAACAUCCAGCUUGAUGACGGUACCUCUUUAGCAAGCACCGGCUAACUCUGUGCCAGCAGCCGCGGUAAGACAGAGGAUGCGAACGUUGCUCGGAUUUACUGGGCGUAAAGCGCGUGUAGGCGGUCUCGUUAGUCGGGUGUGAAAGCCCCGGGCUCAACCCGGGAAGUGCACCCGAUACUGCGAGACUGGGGUACUGAAGAGGAGAGCGGAAUUCCCGGUGUAGAGGUGAAAUUCGUAGAUAUCGGGAGGAACACCAGUGGCGAAGGCGGCUCUCUGGGGCAGAUACCG